ACCGAACCUAGUAGCAUGGGCUUGUCACCCAAGUGGGGGGCUAUGAGAUGAUGGGACGUUGUUCCAGCUAAGAAGGUUGGAUUCGGUCUAGGCUAAUUUCAGGCUUUGCCCAUUCCAAGCUAGGCGUUGAACCAUGGGUGACUCAAGCGAAGGCUUGGCUCUCCUGAUUCUUAGAGCAGAGGGUACCGCGUUAAUGCAGGUUGCUGGAUCCUCGGGCAGCAACUACGGUUUCUCCUUAGGAAGAAGAUGCCCUAAUUACUAUUCUGCCCCUGAAACAAAAAAAAUAAUAAUAAUAAAUUUGAGAAAAUAAAUUAUUUUCUUU
rnacentral:SRP_RNA from 1 species